AUGGCCAGCAAACGAGGCCCAGUACGCAUCGAGCGGGGUGUGCGUGUUACCUCUCUAUUGUGCGACCUUGCCCAGGAGGUCAAAUUCAGGCCACUGGAAGAUAAUUUGUACACCAUCCAAUUUUCGUGCCUUAGUGACUGGGAGAGGGUGAUGCAAGAUGGGCCAUGGCACUUCAGGGGAGAUGCUGUCAUCAUCAAACCAUACGAUGGGGUGACGAAGCCGACCACCAUCAAGCUGGACACAAUAGAUAUUUGGGUCCAAAUCCAUGACGUCCCCGACCUGUUUGCUCAUCUCAUCGAACCACUUGCGGGCAAAGAAGGAGAAGUUCUUUUUGCGGAGCCUCCCUCUCAGGAUUUUGCUGGAAAUUUUCAUCGCGUUUGGGUUAGGAUAGAUGUGAUGAAGCCUUUGACGAAUGUUGUGUCCAUGGUCAGGGGAGGAAAGCGUCAGAUAUAUCGGGUAAAAUAUGAGAAGUUUCCCGAUAGGUGUGCAGUAUGUGGGAUGCUGGGACAUCUCUUCAAGGAGCACGGGUCUGGAGUGCAUGCACCUUCUGCCUUAGUGUUCAAAGAUUUGAGGGCGGGAUGGUUCAUGAAAACUGGUAGAGGGCCUGGUGGUGGCCGAGGCCGUCUUGGUGGCUGCAGAGGAGGGCGUACUGAUGGAAGAGGACAGUACACAGGCAAUACCCGUUUUGAUGGGGAUGGACUGGAGAAGCAAACACAUGAGGAGGAUCCGUUGGAGCCGACUCAAGAUACAGACAUGGAGGAAUCUUCUCGUAAAAGGGCAAGCGACACAGGACAUGGCAGCAACGCUGCAGCUACCAUGCAUGGCUCUGUUUUGGGAGCCGAUCAGCUAGCCAUAGUGCCUAUGGGGAGCAGCUCAGUGCUUAGUCCACCUGCAAAAGAGACCCCAAGCAAACAAGGUUGGUGA
rnacentral:rRNA from 1 species